CCUUGCAACUAGCUUAUCCAAUAAACCAAUUAGACUUAAUCCAAUUAAAUCCAAACCAAUUCUAAUUGAAUCAAAUUCAAUUAGAUUUAAUCUCAGCCCAAUUGCUCAAUCAAAUUGAGCCUAUUAGCAAUCCAAUUGCUAAUUGAUCCUCCUACAACACUUGCAUUAGGUCAAACAUCAAUCACAUUCAUCGUUUAACCUUAGAAUGAUUCUUAAUCGUCGAUUAACCAUCUGAUUAGGUUACAACCUCUUAUGUAUGUGACCCUAUAGGUUUGAACCUAAGUCAGUAGCAUAGAAACCAAUUUCUGUACCAAUCGAAGUAACCAUCUAGCAAUGAUUCCCGAUGUCUAGAUAGGUCGAAUGUAUGCAAAGCAAUAUUCUAAGAACCCUGACCCAUGGUUACCAUAUAAUUCAUCUUUUUGACCAAUAAUGCUCA
rnacentral:lncRNA from 1 species